GACGAACGCUGGCGGCGUGCUUCACACAUGCAAGUCGAGCGAGGCCCUUCCUUCGGGGAGGUGCCCUAGCGGCGAACGGGUGAGUAACACGUGGGCAACCUGCCCCUGACUCUGGGAUAAGCCCGGGAAACCGGGUCUAAUACCGGAUAUGAACCCAACAGGCAUCUGCUGGGUUGGAAAGAUUUAUCGGUCAGGGAUGGGCCCGCGGCCUAUCAGCUUGUUGGUGGGGUAACGGCCCACCAAGGCGACGACGGGUAGCCGGCCUGAGAGGGCGACCGGCCACACUGGGACUGAGACACGGCCCAGACUCCUACGGGAGGCAGCAGUGGGGAAUCUUGCACAAUGGGCGAAAGCCUGAUGCAGCGACGCCGCGUGAGGGAUGACGGCCUUCGGGUUGUAAACCUCUUUCAGCAGGGACGAAGCGAAAGUGACGGUACCUGCAGAAGAAGGACCGGCCAACUACGUGCCAGCCGCCGCGGUAACAC
rnacentral:rRNA from 1 species